CACUCCUACGGGAGGCAGCAGUGGGGAAUAUUGCACAAUGGGCGCAAGCCUGAUGCAGCCAUGCCGCGUGUGUGAAGAAGGCCUUCGGGUUGUAAAGCACUUUCAGCGGGGAGGAAGGCGAUACGGUUAAUAACCGUGUUGAUUGACGUUACCCGCAGAAGAAGCACCGGCUAACUCCGUGCCAGCAGCCGCGGUAAUACGGAGGGUGCAAGCGUUAAUCGGAAUUACUGGGCGUAAAGCGCACGCAGGCGGUCUGUCAAGUCGGAUGUGAAAUCCCCGGGCUCAACCUGGGAACUGCAUUCGAAACUGGCAGGCUUGAGUCUUGUAGAGGGGGGUAGAAUUCCAGGUGUAGCGGUGAAAUGCGUAGAGAUCUGGAGGAAUACCGGUGGCGAAGGCGGCCCCCUGGACAAAGACUGACGCUCAGGUGCGAAAGCGUGGGGAGCAAACAGGAUUAGAUACCCCUGUAGUCCCAUG
rnacentral:rRNA from 1 species